rnacentral:lncRNA from 1 species
GCUCACUAUCCCUCAACUGAUGCAUGGCUAGCCCUUUGAGCAGUGGAAGAGACUCAGAUGAGCUCCCGCUACCUUCAAAACUCCUUCUGCUUGGUGUCAUAUAGUAUGGUAUAUCCCUUUGGCCAGUUGAAGUCAGCUGUCCUAAUUCUGUUCCCUCCCAGCUCCUCAGGCCAUUCACUGAGAAUGGCCUUGGCUCUUUAUAACAUUGCUUAGCUUCAACUAGAAACAUCAGUGUGUUAACAACACUGUUUUCCUCCUAGAACCAAAACACAGCAACAUGCCAGACAUUCUGAAGAGAACAAUUCCAUCCCAGCUGAAACUAAGACCGUGUUGUAGUGCAUCCAUGUGUCUGUGCAGUCCCGAACUUGUGGCCGUGGACAUGUGUUGUUUUCACUCUCAGGCUAAGCAUGAAACAAAGUCUUCAGGAGACUGUUACAAAGUCAUGAGGAGGCAGUAGUCUUCCCAUUUUCACUACAAAAUUUUAUACCAAACUGCUACACAAAAAUUAUACCAACGUAAUUGCAUUACACAUAAAAACUCAGCCUUUCUGUGCUGCACCCAACAACCAUGCAAAAAACAUCCAACAUUCAUCAAUCAUGCUAUGCUAGGCUCCUAGUUUCCUUACUGACUCAGAGAAGCCAACACAAAACAAAAUCACUCUUCCUUUGAUGAUUCACUGACAUCAUCAAGUUCUGAUCUGAAAAUCACCAAAGCAGUAUUCUCCCAUCAAGGAACACCUUCGCAAAAUCUGUCACUUCAUUCCUGGCACAUCUCUUGGGACCACCUAGAUGCAAAGACAUUGUAUCCUCACAACAACAAAAACAGCCCACUUACUAGUGCAGUACGGAACUGAUGGUCCACAGCAUUUGUGGUGGCAGGGGUAAAGCGGAGCUGAGUUUGAAAGCUCUGGAAUGUACCUGAUAGAGCUCGUCUGGCGUGGUGUUUUACUGUGAUAUUGCUGCUCUCAUUUGGAGGAAAAAUAGAGAAGCUUUUUUAAAGGUACAGAAAUAAACUAUUUGCUAGAGCUCUGAACA